rnacentral:sRNA from 1 species
GCUAUCAACAUCCCCGCCGGUUGGGCGCGGCGUUUCUACUAAACCCGCGUAGUGAACCGGCUGUAGC